AUUUCAUGGUGUGGACUCCUUCUCACCGAAUCCUUGAAUCUGUCUCAAGCUUCAUGGAGUGUUUCCAUAUCCAUCUAAGUAAAUAUCUAGAUUUUAUUUCUCAGCUU